UUNCAAGCUGUGUGGAAGAAAGGCAAGCCCUU
rnacentral:piRNA from 1 species